UAAACAUAUACUGAUGAAGUAAGAUUGUUUUGUCUCCAUUGACAUAGAAAUGGUUUAACUGAUGAGUUCUUAAUAAUUUUUAAUAUUAACCUUAGUAUUUUAAGGCUAAUUGAAACAAUAUAAACCAUUUUUUAUACACAUUAAAUAUUGAGUGAUCAGGGAAGGAACUGGAAUCUAUGCAAAGAUCGAGUGUUAUAAGAGAGUGUAUAUGUGACGGCCCAUUCUGUCAAUAUUAGCACUGAUAAACUAAAAAAGCAUUAAUAUUUAUUGUUUUGAACAUUUCUUAUAAUGGCUUUCUAGAUAUUUUGCAUGUAAAUACGGACUGAUGGAUACUGUGUGUCUUGUAUUCAUUCACCACCAUAAUUUUGCUUGCAUAUCCAAGCAAAAAAAAGUUAAAAACAUAUUAUAAUCACAAUUCAUCAAAUGUAAGUUACUAAUUUGGCACAAGCAACUAUGUAAAGAACAAGUGUACAUAUUUUACAUGUUUGAUAUCUCUAUGAAGGCAAACUGAAAGUUUUGGAUUCAGAGUUUCAGAGGGUGACAUUUUAUUUUUUACAUGACGAGGUUGCCCUGAUCAGCAUCUAUAAUUCAAUACCAGAUCAAUACUUCUGAUCAUGUAUACAGCGAUAACUGUGAAUUGCUAAUGAAAUAUUAGGUUUAAUUUCCUGUAUUUUGCUGAAAGGAUUGAUCAUCAUUUAUUAAUCUAAGAGGAUGAAAUGGGUGAGCAAAGGGAGUUUUUUUUGUUUUUUUGGUCUCUGUACAUAUGAAAACAGAGUAAAGAGGGGUACUAAACACUCUGGUCUGCAUUACAGUUCGUAUCACACCAUGUUUGGCUUUAUUUCGUGUAUAUACUCCUUCAAAAGCUUUGUAUUUAUAUGGUCAAGAGGGACAAAUCAUGUAUAGACUGAGAUUAAUUGUCUGCCUUGUACUUUCUGAUGUAAAUGUGUUUUUAAAACUAAACUGCGAACAUGAAAAAGAAAAAAAAAAUCUUUCAAUGGCCUAAUCACUACAGUUAUUGUGUGUAUUUUGCAUUGGAAUCUCAAGAGCGUUUUGUUUUACCAUGCAGAACUACGAAAACCUUUGUACCAAGUAUUUUUUCUGUAUAUAUUGUGCUAGCAUGAAUAAAUGUGGUGUGGAUUUUAGAUGUAAAUACACACUUUUUUUUUUCCUACUCACUUAACCGCUGUGAUGUGUAAUUCAUUAAUAAUGCCUAAUAUUAAAGAUAAUGUUUUAUCGACUGAUAUUUGCCUUCCUUUCUUUAUUUGGAAUAGAGUGUAAAUUCUCAGUAUAUAAUAAGCAUUUUCAAAUACAAUUUUUUUUUUUUUUAAUGCAAAAUAUUUACGAAACAUUUAUGAAAUACCCAUAAAGGGCCAUUCUGUGGAACCCUGUUUCUGCCACUG
ensembl:lncRNA